rnacentral:rRNA from 1 species
CGGAUUGUAGGCUGAAACUCGCCUACAUGAAGCUGGAGUUGCUAGUAAUCGCGAAUCAGCAUGUCGCGGUGAAUACGUUCCCGGGCCUUGUACACACCGCCCGUCACACCAUGAGAGUUGGCAAUACCCAACGUACGUGAUCUAACCCGCAAGGGAGGAAGCGUCCUAAGGUAGGGUCAGCGAUUGGGGUGAAGUCGUAACAAGGUACC